CUUUUUUCCACUCUCAAAUUAUACUGUGCAACCUUUUCCUUUUCUCUUAAAUGUACUAUUUACUAGUACGUUAAAUGUUCUGCCUUUCCUCGAUCCGCAUAUUCAUCGACUCUACUAUCGAUUGUACUUAUUACUAUCGAUUGUAAUAAAGAGCUAACAUGCAGGGAAAGCCUGAAUUUAAGAUGUCACUUUCGAAUGAUUCCCACUGGAUUCUUCUCUCUAAUUGAAGUUUGGUUAUAUACAAAGAACAACUGUGGAAAAAACUGUAAAUCAUUACUUUGAGUUUUAUUUAAAAUAAUUAAAAAAUAAUUGAAUACUGAAAUGAAUCGCAUUUGGCUUAAAUGGCAAAAUUUUCUUAUGGUAAAACGAAUUACAAUGAUUUGUUAAAUAGCACAACAACAGCACACGGGACUGCAUACUUAAAUUCAUGACAAUAAACUCUGAAAGUUAAGAAGGAAAAUUACAAAAAUUGGUGGGAGAAGAAAAUUUACUGAGAUACAGACCAUCGUGUGACGCCUUAUCCAGACCGGCCGAGACCAGGAGAAACGAAAGAAGGACAACUUGGAGGAGACACACGGCGGACCCGGAAUCCAAGUCAUCAAAGGAGGGAACGGCGAAAAGAAGAUGACAAGAAUUUGAAACGAGAAAGGCUGGAACAAAAAUGUGAUAUCAUGGGAAAUAAAUACAAUUAAAUCAUAAUAAUAUAUAUAUUGGAAAAAAUCUGGAAAACAAAAAAAUAAAACCCACGAUGCUCAGAAGGGCUUAUUUUCUUGAAGACCAUGUAAUCGUGAAUCGAGUCGUCCCAAGUAUUUAGUGUUCUGUGUUUUUUGUUUAUUUUUUUUUGUAUAUUUAAUAUUUUUAAUUUGUUUUUUGAUUUAUAAGUAAAAUAAAUAUUGUUUAAUUAUAUUUCAUAAA
ensembl:ncRNA asRNA:CR45139 antisense RNA:CR45139